UCGUGACCGCCCGAGUCCUGUCCCAGGACCGAGCCUGAACUCUCGGGUUUAGGCUGGAAAGAUCUGGACGCUUCUUUGAGAUAGGCCCUGAGAGGAAGGAACAGAGAGCUGGGACUGGAGGGCAGGUGGAGCACCUGCAGGCAGGAGGGUCCCGUGAUCCAAGGCUUUAUGGUGGGAGGGGAAGUUGCAAUGAGGAAGGAGCCCUGCUGAGGUGGGAAGGGGAGGUGUGAAGGCAGGUGAGGGUCUCUGUUCUGAGGCUCAACAGACUGACUACUCCCCAUGGAGCAAGGAUAUUUGGCUCUAGGAGGAAGCUUGGAAGUGCCAUUGCUGAGAUGGAAAGUUCAUAGCAGCACUGACCUGAGCUCAGUGUUUGCCAUGUUGCAUCUGAGAUAUUGCAGGGAUCUCUGAGUGGAGGUGGCAGGUGGGCAUCUAGAAGCAAACAUCUGGAUUUCAGGGAAGGGGGUUCAGGUUUGAAGACACCACUCAGUGGUGGCAGGCAUGCAGACUGUGUCGUAUUUAAGAGGGGGCAGUCUGCAGAUCAUGGUGGCAAUGCCAUUACAGGGGAAGGAUGGCGAGGAUAUUCUCCAUGAACUGACCCACUUCUUGGGCACAUGGAUAGGGAUGGCUGUCAUCACUAAGACCUGAAGAGGGCCAUGUGACCUUUGAGGAUGUGGCCGUGUACUUCUCCCAGGAGGAGUGGGGGCUCCUUGAUGAGGCUCAGAGAUGCCUGUACCACAUUGUGAUGCUAGAGACCUUGGCGCUUAUAGCGUCCCUGGGUUGUCGGCAUGGGGUAAAAGCUGAGGAAGCUUUUUCUGAGCAGUGUGUUUUUGUGGAAAGAGUGUCACAUUCCAGGACUCCAGAUCCAGCCCUGUCUAUUCCAGGGGCUUGUUCCUGUGUUGUGUGUGUCCCAGCAGAGAAAGACAUCUUGUACCUGGCUGAGCAUGGAGGAGCAUGUGCUGGGCUGAACCUGUGCACUUGUGGAAAACUGUGCUCAUUUAGUUCAUACUUAGACCAGAACCAGAAGCAGGACUGUGGCAAGGAGGACCUUGGAAGGGAGGACCACAGGGCUUUGUUCAUAAAGAGCAAAAUCCUCGUGUCAGACAAUAUUGUCACCUUUGGGGAAGUUGAGGAUGGUUCCCUGGGAAGCCUGGGCUCUCUCCAGCACCAGGUGAAGAGCAUCCACACAGUGGCAGGUGGAGCAAGGCAGUCUCUCACAUUCCGCGAGGGCAACACAGCAUGGAUGGGCAGGCCUGCCACAAGAAGGUUAAAUUCAAGGAGCGGCAGAGUGCUCACACUGGAGAAAGCCUUCACGAAUGUAGUCAGUGUGAAAAGUCCUUCAUCUCCAAGAAAAGACUUCUUGAGCACCAGAGAAUCCACACUGGAGAACGACUUUAUAAGUGCAGUGAGUGUGAGACGUCCUUUGUCUACAAAAGCAGACUUCUUGAGCACCAGAGAGUCCACACUGGAGGAAAGCCUCACGAGUGUAGCAAAUGUGGGAAGUUCUUUAAGUACAAAUCUAGCCUUAAUCAACACUGGAAAGUUCACACUGGAGAAAGGCCUCAUCAGUGCAGUGAAUGAAAUCCUUCCCCUAUAAAAGCAGA